rnacentral:tRNA from 1 species
GUCUCUGUGGUGCAAUUGGUUAGCGUGUUUGGCUGUUGAUUGAAAGGUUGGUGGUUCAAGCCCACCCAGGGAUG